rnacentral:sRNA from 1 species
CAUUUUCAGUAAAGAAGUCCUGAGUAAACACGUUGUCGUUGAAUACCGCUUCUCUGCCGAACCUUAUAUUAGUGCCUCAUGCAGUAAUGUCUCAGUUUUAUCUAGGUCAAUGCCUGCGGGCUAAGAAAACACUCUAAGGAAUUUUGCAAAUGGCAAAGAUUAAAGGUCAAGUUAAGUGGUUCAACGAGUCUAAAGGUUUUGGUUUCAUUACUCCUGCUGACGGCAGCAAAGACGUGUUCGUACACUUCUCUGCAAUCCAGGGUAACGGCUUCAAAACUCUGGCUGAAGGCCAGAACGUUGAGUUCGAAAUUCAGGACGGCCAGAAAGGCCCAGCUGCAGUUAACGUAACUGCUAU